CCCGCCCGUGGAGCCGACCCCGGAACCCCGCGCCGUUGGAGGGACCCCGAGGGAACCCGAGCACCCUGUUGGGUUUGAGUGAAGCCUGAGGAGAACGGGGUAACUGGGGAGAGCAGCGGAGGGCAACGGAGCUGGCCCUGCACGCCCGGGCAGUCGUGGUGGCCAGGCGGCGAGUUGGGUGAGCGAGCGCGGAGUGAGCAAGCCGGGGGCGGAGUCGAGCCCGGCUGCGCUCCCAGACCGGUGGGCCCGGGCCCCAGCCGGCCUGACCUCGGGUCUGAGCCGGACGGCCCUGCCACAGAGGGACGCACAGAGCGAGGAGACAUGGCCACACCAUUCCUGCCCGCGGGGGCCACCACGGGCGACAGCGGUGGAGAGCUGAGCUCAGGCGACGACUCCGGGGAUGUGGAAUCCCCCCAGAACCCCGAGACCGAGGCGUCCAGGAACCUGGCGGAGCUAUUUGAGAAGGCUGCCGCGCACCUCCAGAGCCUGAUUCAGGUGGCCAGCAGAGAGCAGCUCUUAUACCUGUAUGCCAGGUACAAGCAGGUCAAAGUUGGAAAUUGCAAUACUCCUAAACCAGGCUUCUUUGAUUUUGAAGGAAAGCAAAAAUGGGAAGCGUGGAAAGCACUUGGUGACUUGAGCCCCAGUCAAGCAAUGCAGGAAUAUGUCGCAGUGGUUAAAACAUUAGAUCCAGGUUGGAAUCCUCAGAAAGUGGGUGAAAACAUGAGCGAAAUACAGAGAAGUGGAAGAUUAAAAAACCCAAGCUGAAAAUUCUGGAGUUGGAAAAAUACAUUAUCUGAAGUGAAAAAUAUAUGAGAGGAUUAACAACAGCAUUUUGGCCUUGCUUAGAGAAGAUCAGUGAACUCGAAGUGAAACUAAUCAAAAUGAGAAAUAGAAAAGCUAAUCUUCAUAUGGAAUUACAAAGGGUGUCAAAUAGUCAAAACAGUAUUGAAAAAAAAAAUUGGAAGCUUCGAAGCCACAGUUAAGUAGUGUGGAACUGGCAGGGGGGUAAACAUAUAGACCAAUGGAAUAGAAUUGAGAGUUUAGAAAUAUACUCUCAAGUUUAUGGUCAGUAAGGGUGGUACCAGAACCAUUCAUUGGGGAAAGAAUAAUCUCUUUAACAAUGUAGGGACAAUUGGAUAUCCACUUGCAAAAGAAUGAAAAUGCAUUCCUGUCAUAUAACAUACACAUAAAAUUAGCUCAAAAUGGAUCCUCAGCUUAAUUAAUAAAAUUACAAUUAUAAAAGUCUUUGAAGAAAUCAUAUGAGUAGAUCUUAAUAACCUUGGAUUUGAUCCUGGCUGCUUAGAUAUGACAGCAUAAACUCAAGCAACAAAAGAAAGAAUUAACAAAUAAGAUUACAUAUAUAUUAAAAACUUUUGUUAAGAAGACUCUGUCAAGAAAGUGAAAAGAAAUGGGAAGAAUAUUUGCAGAUUGUAUAUUCAACAAGGAUCUAAUAUCCAGAACAUAUACCAGAGAAGAAAGGAAAAGAGGCAAAUAGUGGUUUUGGCGGGCCAGUUGUUAGUUCUCUGUAUCAUGAAGAAACCAUCAGGGAAGAAGACAAAAACAUAUUUGAUUACUGCAGG